CGGCAAUUAGCGCAGUCCGGUAGCGCGUCUGGUUUGGGGCCAGGGGGUCAAAGGUUCGAAUCCUUUAUUGCCGACCA
rnacentral:tRNA from 1 species